UUAGGGUUGAAUUUCAAUUUCCUAAUAGCAAAAUGUACAGUUGUUUACAACGACAAUUUUUUAAAGGUAGUUACACAACCCUUAUUAAAAUUAAUUGUGCCCAAACAAACUCGAAAUCCGGGAAGGAAAAAAUGAUAGUUUUGCUUGCUAUUCAUAAAAAUGUAGUGUCCACCUCGGUUGAAUUAUUCGAGGAGGUCAUACACAUGUAAAUUGUGAAUUUUGCUAUCAUGAAUUUUGACCCAAAAUUAGGCAACGUUCUUUGCGCAGGGGCUCGUUGGGUGUGACCACGAAAUAAUAAUAAAUGUGUCGCCUGUUUUGACUUUAUUCUCUUGUUUUUUAUGUCACGAUAUCGCAAUUAAUUGAAAUUAUUGGGCGAAGAGGAGACCAAUCUGUGGUUUGGUCUGGUAUGGUCGUGAAACGCUACCAAGUUUGGUAACUGCUACCGGGUUUGAUAAGGAGGCACAAAUUAGUGGAUUUUUUACAGGAUAAACCUACAAAAUAGUGACCUUUUUGUGUAAUAAAUUACGUAUCUUUUCGUCUUUAGAGACACCGAACUUGUCGUUGUAUCGUCACUCCAUUACAAAUGCGGGUUGGUCGUAUUUUGGUAGGAGUUGAUUUUGUGUAUAGUGACAAGAGGACACCUCGGACAGGAGGAGAGAUUGCCAUAAAUCUAGUCGUGGCAGAGUGGUGCCAUAAAUAAGUCAGCGUGGAUAACGACGCCGGGUGAAAGAAUAUUAUUCCCCAUUUUCCUUCAACGUGAGUUCCCCCAUCGUGGAAGCCGGUUUACAGAAGCUGAUUGAUGGAAAUUGGCCCGAUAAGAAUUAAGCGAAGAGACGAAGAAGGAAAGAUUUAUUCUAUUUUAUUUUAUUGCUCACCAACUAUUUAAGCAUUUCGGGGGCUUUGCAAAACAAAUUAUGCAAAUUUUUGCAUGCCCUCAAAAAACACGAAGUAAAUUGUUAAUUCAAAAUUAUUUCCGAUAUGAAAAUAAAUAAUCUCCGAAAUUCGGUGACA